AUUGAACGCUGGCGGCAGGCCUAACACAUGCAAGUCGAACGGUAACAGGAAGCAGCUUGCUGCUUUGCUGACGAGUGGCGGACGGGUGAGUAAUGUCUGGGAAACUGCCUGAUGGAGGGGGAUAACUACUGGAAACGGUAGCUAAUACCGCAUAAUGUCGCAAGACCAAAGAGGGGGACCUUCGGGCCUCUUGCCAUCGGAUGUGCCCAGAUGGGAUUAGCUAGUAGGUGGGGUAAAGGCUCACCUAGGCGACGAUCCCUAGCUGGUCUGAGAGGAUGACCAGCCACACUGGAACUGAGACACGGUCCAGACUCCUACGGGAGGCAGCAGUGGGGAAUAUUGCACAAUGGGCGCAAGCCUGAUGCAGCCAUGCCGCGUGUAUGAAGAAGGCCUUCGGGUUGUAAAGUACUUUCAGCGGGGAGGAAGGGAGUAAAGUUAAUACCUGUGCUCAUUGACGUUACCCGCAGAAGAAGCACCGGCUAACUCCGUG
rnacentral:rRNA from 1 species